rnacentral:rRNA from 1 species
GAUUAAGUUAUUAAGGGCGCACGGUGGAUGCCUUGGCACUAGAAGCCGAUGAAGGACGUUACUAACGACGAUAUGCUUUGGGGAGCUGUAAGUAAGCUUUGAUCCAGAGAUUUCCGAAUGGGGAAACCCAGCAUGAGUUAUGUCAUGUUAUCGAUAUGUGAAUACAUAGCAUAUCAGAAGGCACACCCGGAGAACUGAAACAUCUUAGUACCCGGAGGAAGAGAAAGAAAAUUCGAUUCCCUUAGUAGCGGCGAGCGAAACGGGAAGAGCCCAAACCAACAAGCUUGCUUGUUGGGGUUGUAGGACACUCUAUACGGAGUUACAAAGGACGACAUUAGACGAAUCAUCUGGAAAGAUGAAUCAAAGAAGGUAAUAAUCCUGUAGUCGAAAAUGUUGUCUCUCUUGAGUGGAUCCUGAGUACGACGGAGCACGUGAAAUUCCGUCGGAAUCUGGGAGGACCAUCUCCUAAGGCUAAAUACUCUCUAGUGACCGAUAGUGAACCAGUACCGUGAGGGAAAGGUGAAAAGCACCCCGGAAGGGGAGUGAAAUAGAACCUGAAACCGUGUGCUUACAAGUAGUCAGAGCCCGUUAAUGGGUGAUGGCGUGCCUUUUGUAGAAUGAACCGGCGAGUUACGAUUUGAUGCAAGGUUAAGCAGUAAAUGUGGAGCCGUAGCGAAAGCGAGUCUGAAUAGGGCGUUUAGUAUUUGGUCGUAGACCCGAAACCAGGUGAUCUACCCUUGGUCAGGUUGAAGUUCAGGUAACACUGAAUGGAGGACCGAACCGACUUACGUUGAAAAGUGAGCGGAUGAACUGAGGGUAGCGGAGAAAUUCCAAUCGAACCUGGAGAUAGCUGGUUCUCUCCGAAAUAGCUUUAGGGCUAGCCUCAAGUGAUGAUUAUUGGAGGUAGAGCACUGUUUGGACGAGGGGCCCCUCUCGGGUUACCGAAUUCAGACAAACUCCGAAUGCCAAUUAAUUUAACUUGGGAGUCAGAACAUGGGUGAUAAGGCCCGUGUUCGAAAGGGAAACAGCCCAGACCACCAGCUAAGGUCCCAAAAUAUAUGUUAAGUGGAAAAGGAUGUGGCGUUGCCCAGACAACUAGGAUGUUGGCUUAGAAGCAGCCAUCAUUUAAAGAGUGCGUAAUAGCUCACUAGUCGAGUGACACUGCGCCGAAAAUGUACCGGGGCUAAACAUAUUACCGAAGCUGUGGAUUGUCCUUUGGACAAUGGUAGGAGAGCGUUCUAAGGGCGUUGAAGCAUGAUCGUAAGGACAUGUGGAGCGCUUAGAAGUGAGAAUGCCGGUGUGAGUAGCGAAAGACGGGUGAGAAUCCCGUCCACCGAUUGACUAAGGUUUCCAGAGGAAGGCUCGUCCGCUCUGGGUUAGUCGGGUCCUAAGCUGAGGCCGACAGGCGUAGGCGAUGGAUAACAGGUUGAUAUUCCUGUACCACCUAUAAUCGUUUUAAUCGAUGGGGGGACGCAGUAGGAUAGGCGAAGCGUGCGAUUGGAUUGCACGUCUAAGCAGUAAGGCUGAGUAUUAGGCAAAUCCGGUACUCGUUAAGGCUGAGCUGUGAUGGGGAGAAGACAUUGUGUCUUCGAGUCGUUGAUUUCACACUGCCGAGAAAAGCCUCUAGAUAGAAAAUAGGUGCCCGUACCGCAAACCGACACAGGUAGUCAAGAUGAGAAUUCUAAGGUGAGCGAGCGAACUCUCGUUAAGGAACUCGGCAAAAUGACCCCGUAACUUCGGGAGAAGGGGUGCUCUUUAGGGUUAACGCCCAGAAGAGCCGCAGUGAAUAGGCCCAAGCGACUGUUUAUCAAAAACACAGGUCUCUGCUAAACCGUAAGGUGAUGUAUAGGGGCUGACGCCUGCCCGGUGCUGGAAGGUUAAGAGGAGUGGUUAGCUUCUGCGAAGCUACGAAUCGAAGCCCCAGUAAACGGCGGCCGUAACUAUAACGGUCCUAAGGUAGCGAAAUUCCUUGUCGGGUAAGUUCCGACCCGCACGAAAGGCGUAACGAUUUGGGCACUGUCUCAACGAGAGACUCGGUGAAAUCAUAGUACCUGUGAAGAUGCAGGUUACCCGCGACAGGACGGAAAGACCCCGUGGAGCUUUACUGUAGCCUGAUAUUGAAAUUCGGCACAGCUUGUACAGGAUAGGUAGGAGCCUUUGAAACGUGAGCGCUAGCUUACGUGGAGGCGCUGGUGGGAUACUACCCUAGCUGUGUUGGCUUUCUAACCCGCACCACUUAUCGUGGUGGGAGACAGUGUCAGGCGGGCAGUUUGACUGGGGCGGUCGCCUCCUAAAAGGUAACGGAGGCGCUCAAAGGUUCCCUCAGAAUGGUUGGAAAUCAUUCAUAGAGUGUAAAGGCAUAAGGGAGCUUGACUGCGAGACCUACAAGUCGAGCAGGGUCGAAAGACGGACUUAGUGAUCCGGUGGUUCCGCAUGGAAGGGCCAUCGCUCAACGGAUAAAAGCUACCCCGGGGAUAACAGGCUUAUCUCCCCCAAGAGUUCACAUCGACGGGGAGGUUUGGCACCUCGAUGUCGGCUCAUCGCAUCCUGGGGCUGUAGUCGGUCCCAAGGGUUGGGCUGUUCGCCCAUUAAAGCGGUACGCGAGCUGGGUUCAGAACGUCGUGAGACAGUUCGGUCCCUAUCCGUCGUGGGCGUAGGAAAUUUGAGAGGAGCUGUCCUUAGUACGAGAGGACCGGGAUGGACAUACCUCUGGUGUACCAGUUGUCGUGCCAACGGCAUAGCUGGGUAGCUAUGUGUGGACGGGAUAAGUGCUGAAAGCAUCUAAGCAUGAAGCCCCCCUCAAGAUGAGAUUUCCCAACUUCGGUUAUAAGAUC